UGAAAAAAAACAAAGAAGAAGAAGUAGAAGAAGAAGAAGAAGAAAUUCCGUCCGCCCCAGCGCUACCUCUGAACAGUAAGCUAAGCAGUGACCACAUUUUUUCCCAAAAUGAUCAACAAAUUUUCCACAACGUUUUGAACCGAUAAAACUAUCGACAAAACCGACAGUCCCCAGUGUUGGAAAUGUGUGAAAAGCCGUCAGAAGAGUACAUGGAGGAGCUACUUUGUGGAAAAAAAGAGAUGGAGCUACACCAGCCAAACAUGGAGCCACGAGUUGUUUCACAGCAACUUACAGAUGCAUCAAACUAGCAUGGCGCCAAGAACCACUCGCUCCAAAGUUGGACUACACUUCACCAGGAAAGAGUGUGAAAAUGAAAAGUUACGACGGCUAUUCUCUCAGAUACCAACUGCCCUUCUUCCGACAGCAACGCUUACAAAUAUCGCGCCGACGAGGAUGACGAGGAUUAUUCUUGUGAUAAAUUCAAGGACGCCGACGAGGAUUAUUCUUGUGAUGAAUUUGACGACGAUGACGCCGACGACAAAGACGACAGUUGUCUGCGUCCUCAGUGCGGGAAAACUUUUAAAACCGAAUCUCUGAAGCGUCACGUGAAAACGCACGCCGCAGAGAAAGAUUUCAUCUGCUCGUUUUGCGGUAUACAAAUGACUACCAAGAGCAAUUUAAAACGCCACAUGCUAACACACACAGGCGAAAAACCUGCUCUCUGUUCAGAGUGCGGUAAGCGCUUCGCUACUCAAGUCUGUUUAAAAAAGCACAUGAGAACACACACCGGAGAGAAACCGCACGAAUGUUUUGUUUGCCAUAGAAGAUUCGGCGAGAAACAACUUCUGAAAUACCACAUGAGAACGCACACCGGCGAGAAACCAUACGCUUGCCAACUUUGCAGUAAACGAUUCGCGAUCCAAGGCAGCUUAGUUAAACACCAAAAAGUGCACACUGGUGAGAAACCGUUUUACUGCGCAGCUUGCGGUAAAAGUUACACUAGAAAAGUGUAUUUCACAAACCACUCGUGUAAAGGGACUAACGGAAAAGCAAAGUUGAACGGGAAAUUUUGAGAUUUUUUGAGACGAUUCAUAGUCGAAGCUCUGGAAAAAUACGGUGCCGACUCUGGUAAAUUGUAAAACUGUGAAUGAUCAGUGUUGUCACUAACGCGUUACUGUAAUGUGAUUGAUUACAGUAUUGGCUCGAAUAUAAGACGACCCCCUCUUUUUCAAGACUCAAGUUUGGGAAAAAAAAAGACUUUUUGAACACUAAUGUGCAAUCACAUUCGUAAAUGAAUGGCUUCUGGUUUUUGAAAUGUAAAUAAACCAAUCUAUUGUGAUAAAACAACAAAAUUGCAAUAGUUAACGCAAUUGCAUUAACCAUCAAAGUGAAGUCUAACUGUAAUUGUAGUGUUGUAACAAAUCUGAGUAAGGACAAACAUUGCAAUAAAAUAAUGCAAACUGGUUAAACUUGAGAGUAGCUGAGAUCUUUCAUGACAGAACAUUACUCAAGUUCAGCAUUCGCUUUAAUGAUAUCUGGCGCCAUCUAGCGUCUUGAAUGGGUAUUACGUCUAGACUGCGAAUAUAAGACGACCCCCACUUUUUCAGUCUUAUUUCAAUGCAAAAAACACCAAACACCGUCUUGUAUUCAGGCCAAUACGGUACUUUCUUUCAGUAACGAGUAACGCUUUCAUUUUUCCAAACUAGUAAUCUGAUUAAAGUUGGUGUGUGUUAUUUAGGGCCUGAGCACCAACUGGGAGAGACAGUGACGACCGAAAGUAGUAUUUGCCAUGUGGCAAAAUAGAUUUUGGCAUGUGUUUUUUUUUUUUUUUUUUUUUUUUUUUUUUUGCCAUGUGGCAAAAUGGAUUUUGGCAUGUUGCAUUUACUUUUGCCAUUGGAGUGGAAAUUAAAGACAUGUUGCUUUUCGCCCUCUUCAACGCUGAUUCAAAACGAAACUUAUGAACUUGCAAACUCGUGGUGGAUCUGUUGCACUUAUGCACUUUCUGUUGCAGCAGGUGUAACCACAGAGAAAAAACAACUCGCAACUCACGAGUUCUAGGAAAACAGUGUAAGCAGAAGGGGCGAGAGUAUAUAAGUAAAGGAGGGAGCAGUGUUAAAUCUGAGAGUCUGCUGUGGUCUUACGCGUCAGACGUGCAGCCAGGUACUUUCUGCUCAACUUUACCGAGGACAACCUGGCUCUCCGUCCUUCCAGCACACGGUAAUUAAGCCUUUGCUUAGAGCGAUUGUACAGUAACGCUUCUAUUCUGUGGCUUAAAUAAAAUGUGCCGCUUGUUUAACGCGGAGAAGUGUUAGAGCCUUGUGUGUGUGUGUGUGUGUUGCCGAUUUUCCUCGAUCCCAAUAGGCCAUAUUAUUACAGUAAUUGAUCAUAAACUGUAAUAGGCCUGACAUCUGGUAAGAUACUGUAUUUGACUGUAAGCAGUAUUGAUGCAAAUCUAUCACAAUUAUUGGUUAUAAAAUUGUGAUAUUCCCCGUUUCGUGUGGUAAUUGCGUAUAAAUCACACGACCCUAUCUUUGGGCCCUUAGACAUACU